rnacentral:tRNA from 1 species
GCCGAACUGGCGGAAUGGCAGACGCAGGGGAUUCAAAAUCCCCCGCCCGCAAGGGCAUCCCGGUUCAAGUCCGGGGUUCGGUAC